rnacentral:rRNA from 1 species
GACGAACCGCCCGAACGUUGUUCGGAAUCACUGGGCUUAAAGGGAGCGUAGGCGGGCCACCAAGUCCGGGGUGAAAUCCUCCAGCUUAACUGGAGAACUGCCUCGGAUACUGGAGGUCUUGAGGAGGGUAGGGGCAAGUGGAACCGUGGGUGGAGCGGUGAAAUGCGUUGAUAUCCAUGGGAACUCCGGUGGCGAAGGCGACUUGCUGGACCCUUUCUGACGCUGAGGCUCGAAAGCCAGGGGAGCAAACGGG